rnacentral:rRNA from 1 species
GACGAACGCUGGCGGCGUGCCUAAUACAUGCAAGUCGAGCGAAUGGACUAAGAGCUUGCUCUUAUGAAGUUAGCGGCGGACGGGUGAGUAACACGUGGGUAACCUGCCCAUAAGACUGGGAUAACUCUGGGAAACCGGGGCUAAUACCGGAUAACAUUUUGAACCGCAUGGUUCGAAAUUGAAAGGCGGCUUCGGCUGUCACUUAUGGAUGGACCCGCGUCGCAUUAGCUAGUUGGUGAGGUAACGGCUCACCAAGGCAACGAUGCGUAGCCGACCUGAGAGGGUGAUCGGCCACACUGGGACUGAGACACGGCCCAGACUCCUACGGGAGGCAGCAGUAGGGAAUCUUCCGCAAUGGACGAAAGUCUGACGGAGCAACGCCGCGUGAGUGAUGAAGGCUUUCGGGUCGUAAAACUCUGUUGUUAGGGAAGAACAAGUGCUAGUUGAAUAAGCUGACACCUUGACGGUACCUAACCAGAAAGCCACGGCUAACUACGUGCCAGCAGCCGCCGUAA